ensembl:lncRNA
AAUAAAUAAAUGGAUGGCCACACCAAUGCUUGUGGCGUGACACUGGAUGUUCAAGUGGGGUGAUCCCCCGAGGGGUGUCUGACUUCUGGAAAGGGGCUUGUGCCCCUGAUUAAGUCUCCCCAGAAGGAUCUCCCCUUGACCACAGAGGCCCCCAGCCCGGCUCUAUCACUGUCCCCCACUCCUCGAGCCACGGCUGCAGCUCCUGGGUGGGCCUGGCACGUGUACCCUGACUCCAGGAGGCAUCCUUUUUUAAUUGUGCAUUUCAAAGUCUCAUUUGAAGUGAGCAGGACUGCACCAAGAAUUGGAACAAGAUGCUCAAUCCACAUGUGCUUCAGGGAGGUAGUGACAUCCUCAACCGACCCACCCGACCCCCCAGGGACUUGGCAGCGGGUGCCCUCCUGGCCCUGGGACCACCAGGAAGGAGGGGCUUGUUCAAGGUUGGCCAGCCGUGGGCCAGCUUCUGAGCCCAGAGGAACCAGAGUGUAUUCCAAGGCCGCAUUUGGUCCUAUUUGUUUGCUUGGGAUAUUAUUAUUACAUAAAUUAAAUUAAUUUAAUUUUUGUUGUUGUUUAGUCGCUCAGUCUGACUCUUUUGUGACCCCUUGAACUGUAGGCUGCCAGUAUUCUUGCCUGGAGAAUCCCAUGGACAGAGGAGCCUGGUGGGCUACAGUCCAUGGGGUCACAAAGAGUCGGACACGACUGAGCGACUAACACUAUGCCACUUGUAUAGCACAGAGAGCUCUGUUCAGCGGUCUGUAAUAACCUAAAUGGGAAAAGAAUCUUUAACAAAAGGAAGUAGUGUUUCCCUGAGUUCUGUGAGCUGUUACCACACAUGAUGGAGCUUGAGGAAAGGCUCUUGGGAGCCCCUGAUUUGUAGCCAAGUUGGACAGACGUGUGGAGAACCUGGGGACCUGCUUCUUGCUGUCGGCGUCUGAGGUGGGGACAGUCUUAUCGGACUAAGCCCUUCACCUUUGGGGUCUGUGCUAACUCCAGGUAGUUAGUCCGAGGACUGAGCUAAAUUGCAGGACAUCCAGUUGAAGAGUUGCUUGGUAUGGAAAACCCACACAUUUGGUGUCAGAACUGUUGAGAGUACAAAACAGAUCACAGUAGUGUAUGGCUGUAGUCAAGGCCCUGCUCCUUGUUCUUUGGGCUGAUGGAGCAGUCUCUAACGUGAUAACUUUCUAAUGAGAUUUCUGAGAUUCCCA